UGAAAAAUUUAAUUUAGAGUUUAACAAAGAAAAACCAAAAUAUAACCCUGCAAUUAAAAUACGUGUCUGCUAAAAUAUCUUCUAUAAACCUGAGUUCACCUGCAUUAACUACUAAUCCUCCCAAAGACUUUAUUAGAAGCUUAAGUGAUUGAGACACAUGGGCCAUGCCAUGUGUAAAAAGGGGGGAAAAGGGAAAAUGGUGAGGUAAUACUAUAACUACAUACUAUAUAACUACUAAAUUCUUACAUAAAAAUUUUUUUUGUUAUGAACUUUUGAGUUAACAAAUACUGUUAGAUGAUGAUUGAUGCUUUUUCUAAAUGGGUUGAAAUAGUUCCAGCAAAGCAUGCAGAUGCUUUGACAGUAGCUAAGGCUAUCUGCAAAACUAUAUCCCAACACACGGUAUUCCACAGAAUGUUUAUAGUGACAAUGGACCACAUUUUGUAAACCAAGUGAUACAAAACAUGGCUACUCACUUGGGAAUGACAUUGAAAAACCACUGUGCCUAUCACCCUCAGAGUGCAGGGCUGGUGGAAAGAACAAAUGGUACUGUGAAAAGCAGAUU